AUUGAACGCUGGCGGCAUGCCUUACACAUGCAAGUCGAACGGCAGCACGGUCUUCGCCCUCUCUUCCAGGGGCGGACUGGUGAGUGAUGCAGCAGAACGUCCCCAGCAACUUGGUAUAGGGGGGUAACAUCCGGAUUAAUACGCCAUAAGACCUGAGGGUGAACGCGUGGGACCGAAAGGCCUCGCGCCAUUGGAGCGUCCGAUGUCGGAUUAGCUAGUUGGUGGGGUAAAGGCCUACCAAGGCGACGAUCCGUAGCUGGUCUGAGAGGAUGACCAGCCACACUGGAACUGAGACACGGCCCAGACUCCUACGGGAGGCAGCAGUGGGGAAUUUUGGACAAUGGGGGCAAGCCUGAUCCAGCCAUGCCGCGUGCGGGAAGAAGGCCUUCGGGUUGUAAAGCGCUUUUGUUGGGAAAGAAAACCAGCAGGCUAAUACCCCGGGGUGAUGACGGUACCGAAAGAAUAAGCACCGGCUAACUUCGUG
rnacentral:rRNA from 1 species